UACAGAGGUCUCGAGCGUUAGGCGGAAUCACUGGGCUUAAAGCGUGUGUAGGUGGAUGCCUAAGUACCUUGUGAAAUCCCACGGCUUUAAACCGUGGAACUGCUUGGUAUACUGGGUGUCUUGAGUCACUCAGGGGCGAGCGGAACAAAUGGUGGAGCGGUGAAAUGCGUAGAUAUCAUUUGGAACGCCAAUGGUGAAAACAGCUCGCUGGGGGUGCACUGACACUGAGACACGAAAGCCAGGGGAGCGAACGGG
rnacentral:rRNA from 1 species